ACUCCUACGGGAGGCAGCAGUGGGGAAUUUUGGACAAUGGGGGAAACCCUGAUCCAGCCAUCCCGCGUGUGCGAUGAAGGCCUUCGGGUUGUAAAGCACUUUUGGCAGGGAAGAAACGGCCCGGGAUAAUACCCUGGGUUAAUGACGGUACCUGCAGAAUAAGCACCGGCUAACUACGUGCCAGCAGCCGCGGUAAUACGUAGGGUGCAAGCGUUAAUCGGAAUUACUGGGCGUAAAGCGUGCGCAGGCGGUUCGGAAAGAAAGGUGUGAAAUCCCAGGGCUUAACCUUGGAACUGCACUUUUAACUACCGGGCUAGAGUACGUCAGAGGGGGGUAGAAUUCCACGUGUAGCAGUGAAAUGCGUAGAGAUGUGGAGGAAUACCGAUGGCGAAGGCAGCCCCCUGGGAUGAUACUGACGCUCAUGCACGAAAGCGUGGGGAGCAAACAGGAUUAGAUACCCUGGUAGUCCACGCCCUAAACGAUGUCAACUAGCUGUUGGGGUUUAUUAACCUUAGUAGCG
rnacentral:rRNA from 1 species